UGAGGCCGAAAGGCGUAGGUGAUGGACAACAGGUUGAUAUUCCUGUACUACCGAUAACCGUUUGAGAGAAGGGAUGACACAGUAGGAUAAGCUAAGCACACUGUUGGUUAUGUGUGCCCAAGCAUUGAGGCAGUCAAAGUAGGCAAAUCCGCUUUGAUAAUGCUGGGGUGUGAUGGGGAGCGAAAUUUAGUAGCGAAGUAGCUGAUUUCACACUGUCAAGAAAAGUCUCUAUCGAGGUUAAAGGUACCCGUACCGCAAACCGACACAG
rnacentral:rRNA from 1 species